UCUCUAUCAUAGUCUUCUUAAUUUAGAAUAUCUAAGCUAAAUUUAUUAGGCAGCUUUAGGCCCUGUGGCUAGCUUUGGGCUAGAGAGGUGGCAGUGGCGAGGUGCAGAUUCAGCGAGCUGAACUCUAGCGUCAGCGUACUGUUGCACGUACUGCGAACAACAAUAGAGAGCAGAUAAAAACAGGAAGGAGAAAACUACCUUUUACAUGUUUGUACAAUACACAGUAUCACACAAUAAAAAGUCAGAUGAAGAAGUUCUCAGCUUAUUGCUUGAAAUUGUACAGAAAGCUAAGCGUUGGCCGUAUGCUCCUUCUAUCGGUAGAAAAUGUACACAAAAUUAAGCACUGGCCAUGGCCACGGCUCUUGUAUUUAAACCAAAUGCAUGAAGCGACUUUAGCUCCUGAGGUUUGUAUACAGCUUCUGAACUUGCGCCUGCAAUUAGCGCUAUGUGGUCAGCUUUGAGAUUGUGCAUUUUAAUAGAGAUGAUUAAACAAAAUAGAAUCUGAGAGGUUACCAUAGCAGUAUUAAAACAGAAAGGGUUCCAUGAUGGCAACAGUACAGGCAGGAAACAUUUGCUGAACGGUGAUGCUCAAACAUUUGCUGAAUUAUUGUUUCAGUUGUGUAGGACAACAAGCUGCAAGAAGAAGCUCUAUGAUGGGUGCAUUUGAAGUUUGAUCGUCGAGAGAGUCCAGACUCCAGAGCAGGCUCACAACACUGGAUAUCUUUGGUCUGCGCGUAGACUAUGUAUGUCUCCAGGAGAAGUUUGGGUGUAAGAGACAGAAGAUUCAGAUACAGGAGAUUGGUGCUGACUGCUAGGAUAUCUUUCAACAUGGAUGGCUUGCUUUCUACCUGAAACACCUGCAAUGAUCUGUAAUAACCAGAUUUCCACACGUCCAUUAAUUGAUAAUCAUGAACCUUCUGUUGUUUCUGCUGGAGCUUCUUGUAGCAUCUUGUUUUGGCUGAGUGGAAAUUUUUGCCUGUUA